AACACUGUUAACCUGCGGUACCUGCGGAAGGAUCAUUACAGAGUGUUUAACCCCCUAUAAAAUGGUGGGUCUAACCUCCCGUCCUUUGCUGGGUCCCCCUUCUGGAGGACUCUCAAAACUUUCUGCUUCGGCGGGGUAUACCCGCCGGAACACCCUCAAAAAAUUCUUGAUCAAAAUGGUUCGGUCCGAGAAACUUUUUGUGAAAAUUAGCGAAAAACUUUCAACAACGGAUCUCAGAUC
rnacentral:misc_RNA from 1 species